AGUGAACGCUGGCGGUAGGCCUAACACAUGCAAGUCGAACGGCAGCACAGUAAGAGCUUGCUCUUACGGGUGGCGAGUGGCGGACGGGUGAGGAAUACAUCGAAAUCUACUUUUUCGUGGGGGAUAACGUAGGGAAACUUACGCUAAUACCGCAUACGACCUACGGGUGAAAGCAGGGGAUCUUCGGACCUUGCGCGAUUGAAUGAGCCGAUGUCGGAUUAGCUAGUUGGCGGGGUAAAGGCCCACCGAGGCGACGAUCCGUAGCUGGUCUGAGAGGAUGAUCAGCCACACUGGAACUGAGACACGGUCCAGACUCCUACGGGAGGCAGCAGUGGGGAAUAUUGGACAAUGGGCGCAAGCCUGAUCCAGCCAUACCGCGUGGGUGAAGAAGGCCUUCGGGUUGUAAAGCCCUUUUGUUGGGAAAGAAAGGCAGCAGGUUAAUACCCCGCUGUUCUGACGGUACCCAAAGAAUAAGCACCGGCUAACUUCGUG
rnacentral:rRNA from 1 species